GCCAAACUUUGAAGGAGGGAGGCGGCAGCCAUGGAGGUCGGUUGGCGACGGGCAAUCACAGAUGGCAAAAAGCAAGGCCGAGAGAGAGGGGGGAGAGUGAGAGAGAUGAGAGGGAGAGCUAGUGGAGUGGAGGCGGAGGCCGACAGUUGGACAGAGACUGGCGACCAAUGGUGGAAAGAAGAUUGAUCACCGAAGAUGAGAAGGCAGCUGUUUGUCUGUUCGUUGUUCGUGAGAG
rnacentral:lncRNA from 1 species